GAUCUUAUAGUUUAUAUAAAACAAAAAAUUGCAAAUUUUUAAAAAUUUUUAAUUAAGAUUU
rnacentral:tRNA from 1 species